rnacentral:rRNA from 1 species
GGGCGUAAAGCGCGCGCAGGCGGAUUGGUCAGUCUGUCUUAAAAGUUCGGGGCUUAACCCCGUGAUGGGAUGGAAACUGCCAAUCUAGAGUAUCGGAGAGGAAAGUGGAAUUCCUAGUGUAGCGGUGAAAUGCGUAGAUAUUAGGAAGAACACCAGUGGCGAAGGCGACUUUCUGGACGAAAACUGACGCUGAGGCGCGAAAGCCAGGGGAGCGAACGGGAUUAGAUACCCCGGUAGUCCUGGCCGUAAACGAUGGGUACUAGGUGUAGGAGGUAUCGACCCCUUCUGUGCCGGAGUUAACGCAAUAAGUACCCCGCCUGGGGAGUACGACCGCAAGGUUGAAACUCAAAGGAAUUGACGGGGGCCCGCACAAGCGGUGGAGUAUGUGGUUUAAUUCGACGCAACGCGAAGAACCUUACCAGGUCU